rnacentral:rRNA from 1 species
GGCUCAUUAUAUAAGUUAUCGUUUAUUUGAUAGUACCUUACUACUUGGAUAACCGUGGUAAUUCUAGAGCUAAUACAUGCUAAAAAUCCCGACUUCGGAAGGGAUGUAUUUAUUAGAUUAAAAACCAAUGCCCUUUGGGCUCCUUGGUGAUUCAUAAUAACUUUUCGAAUCGCAUGGCCUUGCGCCGGCGAUGGUUCAUUCAAAUUUCUUCCCUAUCAACUUUCGAUGUUUGGGUAUUGGCCAAACAUGGUCGCAACGGGUAACGGAGGGUUAGGGCUCGACCCCGGAGAAGGAGCCUGAGAAACGGCUACUACAUCCAAGGAAGGCAGCAGGCGCGCAAAUUACCCAAUCCCGAUUCGGGGAGGUAGUGACAAUAAAUACUGAUACAGGGCUCUUUUGGGUCUUGUAAUUGGAAUGAGUACAAUUUAAAUCUCUUAACGAGGAACAAUUGGAGGGCAAGUCUGGUGCCAGCAGCCGCGGUAAUUCCAGCUCCAAUAGCGUAUAUUAAAGUUGUUGUGGUUAAAAAGCUCGUAGUUGAACCUUGGGCCUGGCUGGCCGGUCCGCCUCACCGCGUGUACUGGUCCGGCCGGGCCUUUCCCUCUGUGGAACC